CACAACUCUCCGACUUCCAACCCGUGUUAGUCCAAGGAGUCCCACGUUCUCUCUGAAAUAGACGACAUAAGAUCUUUGUCAAGCAUAUGCUGAUCGCAGUACGGACGCAAACAAAAGUUGUCACCAUAAAUAGCCAGGUGGAACAUGCGUUCUUACACAGAAACUGUAGAGCCAGUGCCAGUUCCAAAAAGACCAUCUAGUAAGAUUCCAAUCCCCUGCCAAAUGAAAACAUCUCAGCAAGACACUAAUAAUCCAAGCAUUCAGUUGGGUCAAGCAGAAUACUGAGAAGAUCACUCUGAACCUUUACAUCUUUGUAAAUU